UUACUAGAGUAGCACUCGCAUAUCAAUAAGCGGAGGAAAAGAAACUAACAAGGAUUCCCCUAGUAACGGCGAGUGAAGCGGGAAGAGCUCAGAUUUGAAAUCUUAAAGGGUUUCCCUUUACGAAUUGUAGUUCAAAGAAGUGUUUUCUGUUGAGGUUUUGGUAAAAGUUCUUUGGAAUAGGACAUCAUAGAGGGUGAGAAUCCCGUAUUUGACCUUUACUUUCAACUUUGUGAUACACUUUCAAAGAGUCGGAUUGUUUGGGAAUGCAGUCCAAAAUGGGUGGUAAAUUUCAUCUAAAGCUAAAUAUUGGCGAGAGACCGAUAGCGAACAAGUACCGUGAGGGAAAGAUGAAAAGAACUUUGAAAAGAGAGUUAAACAGUACGUGAAAUUGUCAAAAGGGAAGCGUUUGACACCAGUGUUGUUUUUCUGAAAAUCAAUUAAAGAACUGUUUAUGCUAAGCUUGUUUAGACUUUAUCAGCGAUCUGUUUAGUUUUGAGCUUUUCUUUAAUGCACUUUUCAGUUAACAAGUCAACAUCAAUUUCUUUUGCUGUAAAAAAGCUUGAGGAAGGUGGCUUGAGAUUCGUCUUAAGUGUUUAUAGCCUCCUGCCUAUGCAGUCGGAGAGAUUGAGGUCUGCAGCGUAGAUCCUUCGGGGCUAAAUGCAUUUGUGCUAAGUUAUAGCAUUUUAUAGACAACUUGUUGACUAUGAUUUGUCUUGUAGCUUACUCGCUUAUGUUAUUUUACCUACGCUUAGGAUGUUGAGCGCAUGUCUCUCUCU
rnacentral:rRNA from 1 species